UUGAAGAUGUUUAAAUCGCUCCCCAACUGUCAUUUUGGAAGAACAACGGGGCAAAGCCACUGGUUUCAACUGUUUUAAGAAGAGCACAUGGAUACAUUUGUGAGAGAAAAACUCGUUGAAUGCAGUCUUAUCGAGACGUCUAACGGUUGGAACAAACGUGGAAUUCCUUAACCGAGCAGAGUCCACAAAA